rfam:Xenopus laevis strain J chromosome 5S, whole genome shotgun sequence.
CCACCGGUUUUAAUUAAAACCACAUACUUUAUUGUUUAAUUCUAU